rnacentral:tRNA from 1 species
GCCCGGUUAGCUCAAUCGGUAGAGCGUGAGACUUUUAAUCUCAAGGCUGGGGGUUCGAGCCCCCCAUCGGGCU